UCUCUCUCUCUCCUAAGGUCAUGGCCACCUCUCUCUCUCUAGGGUUGGGCCGUCUAUCUCUCUUAGUGUAUGGACCGGUUAUGGACCGAGCCUGUUAUGGACAUCCAUCAAUUGAUUUAUAACAAUGUGGAGAAAGUCGUGACUUUUUGAUCAAUUAUUGGACCCAUCACUCAUAUAUCAUUGACUGAGCCAUGUAUCAAUACACAUUUUAAAGCGUAGAAUUGUAAUAUGUAACUAGAUUUUAAUCCGCACGUCCAUGA
rnacentral:lncRNA from 1 species